GAUGAACGCUGGCGGCGUGCCUAAUACAUGCAAGUCGAGCGAACAGACGAGGAGCUUGCUCCUCUGACGUUAGCGGCGGACGGGUGAGUAACACGUGGAUAACCUACCUAUAAGACUGGGAUAACUUCGGGAAACCGGAGCUAAUACCGGAUAAUAUAUUGAACCGCAUGGUUCAAUAGUGAAAGACGGUUUUGCUGUCACUUAUAGAUGGAUCCGCGCCGCAUUAGCUAGUUGGUAAGGUAACGGCUUACCAAGGCGACGAGGCGUAGCCGACCUGAGAGGGGGAUCGGCCACACUGGAACUGAGCCACGGACAAGACUCCUAAGGGAGGCAGCAGUAGGGAAUCUUCCGCAAUGGGCGAAAGCCUGACGGAGCAACGCCGCGUGAGUGAUGAAGGUCUUCGGAUCGUAAAACUCUGUUAUUAGGGAAGAACAAAUGUGUAAGUAACUAUGCACGUCUUGACGGUACCUAAUCAGAAAGCCACGGCUAACUACGUG
rnacentral:rRNA from 1 species